UGUAAUGUAAUAGAGGUGUAAUAGCAAAUCAAUUGUUUGGUUGAAUGUAAUGGAAUAGAGGCGUAAUAGUAUUCUUGUGUUUGGUUGAAUGGAAUAGAGGUGUAAUAGCAUAAUGGAAAAAACUAAAAUGACUAGAAUACCCUUAGCAUAAAUUUGUUUUGGUAAAUGAUUAUUGUUAUUGUUAUUUAAAUUUUAAUAAGAUU
rnacentral:lncRNA from 1 species